rnacentral:hammerhead_ribozyme from 1 species
AUCCAGCUGACAAGUCCCAGAUAGGACAAAACGCGUGUCCUGGAU